rnacentral:sRNA from 1 species
UUACAAGUUUUUUAAAAGAGUUUUUAAAAAAUUUACAAGGAUUUUUAAAAGCAUUUUUUUUGGCUGGGAAAAAAAUUUAACGAGAAAAAAUUUUGGCGGGUUUUUUUUUUUUUGGCGGGAAAAAAAGUUUGGCGGAAUUUUUUUUUUGGCGGGAGAAAUAAAUUUUGGGGCCAAAAAUUUAGCGGAAAACUUUCAGUUUCCAAUUACAUGUUCUUAUUAGAUGAGGGUAAUUUGGUCAUUCUGUUCAAGGGAAGAGAUAUUUUUAAAAAUGAACAAUAUAAAAGGGUAUUGUUGCAAAAGGGUAGUAAAAAAAGGGUAGUUUUGCAAAUCUCCCUAUUUUCUAAUGAAAAGAAGAAGUUAAUA